AGGAGUACCAAGGUGGUAUAAAUAUGAAGGAAGAAUAUCUGCCAGAUGCAUAAGAAUCAGCCAACUUCUGAUAAAUGUGAGAACCAUUAUACCAUAUCAAUAAAAUUUAAAACCAGUGUAAUGUAUACAGGUACCCCACUAAAAAAGUACAAUCAUAGAGAAUAAUAGUCAUAAUUUCUUAAGCACCAAAACACUUUUUCUUCGCAACACACACAUGCCCUGACUUUUGAUACCCAACAAUAUUAUUACACUGCAAUGAAAGCAUUCCAGUAGAGGUAGAAGCAAAAACUUGUACAGAAGCCGAUGAAAUAUGCACUAUAACAAGUCAUAAAGAAAGGAUCAGAGACCCUGUUCAAUGAGAUAAUCACCAAGCCUUUCAACUAUCAUGUUGCAUUGACCUGGAGUCAUGGGCUCAUCAUAAAUGCCAAUGACCAAGGCCAAACCGGUCUUCUUGACAGUAGCACCACCAGGACCCUGGGUUAAUGGGGAUACAUAAUUAAAAUCUGAUAUUACAACUAUAAUGGCUAAACUAUGCUAGAAGAAUAUAUCUGCACCAACAUGUGCAAGAAAUACAACUGAUGUAUGUUCAUUAAAUUUCAUUGAAUUUGAUGAAAAAAUUACAUCAGACAACACUGGGAACAAUAUUUACUUGUUCAGAGGAAGCAAACAAUAACCACACUGCUUAAAGGUAUCUAUGUACAUAUGCAUUUGCUUGAAAAUUAUAACUUGAUUGAUAAGCAAUUCACAAUAACAUAGAUGGAUUCAGAAAAUGUGAAACGCUUUGGAAAAGAGAUAUUAGACAUUGUACGAAUUAAAUCAGAGGCAAGAUACAGUUGCCCAACUAAAUUACUGCAGUACACCAUAUUCAAGCAAAACUAAAUUACUGCAGUACACCAUCUGCAAUGACAACACAAAUAAAAGACUGAAAUCUUAACCAGAUCAUAGUUUAGACAACAGUAUGAUUGGAAUUCACUCCACAAACUAUACAGUAAAAACAUACAAAAAUGCAUAUCUUCACAGAAACUGCAUCGUUGUCAUCACAUAGCCCAGAUCAUAAUCAAACUAUAUAUGAACCUGCGCAAUCAAAAUGAAGCAAAGAUCAUAAAGAGUAGUUACCUUCUUGCCUCUAAUGACAGACCCGGGUUCACCUUGGAUGACCAUAUAUUUAGUGCCACCAAUAUACAAUCCAGUGGGAGCAAGUGUUCCAGGCUCAUUAAAGUCAUUCAAGAUUCCAGAUACUUCCUCAGGUUUUAACUAAAUAAACAAAAACCCACAUGUUAUUAAAUCACCAACUACAACAGAUCAACAAAAACAAAAGCAGAUCCGUUAACAGCAGAGUUCAUAAGAGCAUCAGACACAUAUAAUAAGAUAAUCAAUCAAGCAAGCAGGCAUCAAACUGACAUCAGAUUAAAACACAGUUGUUGUAUUCAACAGCUCAAAACUACUAAGUGCAGUCCAAGUCAAUUCGGAUUGGUUUCCUUUGCGGAUCAGGUUUAGCAUAUUGACAAACAUGCCCUUAAAUUUGAACUGUAUUACAAGGCGAUCCUUCUGGAAUCUUGGCUUGAUUUAUAAGCGAAGGCAUUGAGCAGGGAUCGGAGAAUCUAGAGACUUGAGUAAAGAAUUAAGAAUCAACAGCGAAAGGAGGCGAUUGAAUUGGGAAAAGAAUAAGCGAAGAUGGAAACAAAAACCUGAGGGAAGCCGGAGCUCUGAGCCCAAACGCUGCCGUCCUGGCCGAUGAUAGCGGCGUGACUUAGGUGGUUUCCUUCAAUUUCGCAGAGAAGGUGGUCGUCGACGUAAGUUUGCCACGACAUGAUUCAGAUUGUUUUGGGGAUUUUCUGGCUGAGAGUGUUCGGUGAUCGGAUUUGAAGUAUCUCUAUAUCUCUGUAUAUCUAUCUAUAUCUCUUUCUCAGCUGCUGCGUUGAUAUCACGGAACUAUAUAAUAUAUAGCGGUAAAGUUACGUUUACGCCCUUUACAUUACCCUAUUUUCACUAUCAGACCUUGCAGAAAAUAUAGGAAUUGUAAACUUUUUUAAGUCUCCAAAAAAAAAAAAAAAAGACAUUUUUUAAUUUAUUAUAUCACGAUGUUUGUAACUAUAAUUGAAUAUGAUCCAGUUACGUGUGUAUGUCAACCCAAAUUGUUACAAAAAGGAUUUUCUUUGGAGAUUACUUGGUGGAAGUUUUCCAGAUAUACUUAAGUUAAUUUCUUUUAAUGCUGAAUCAUAAAACACGCUUUAUCUAGCUAUUCAAAUUGGAAGACGAUGAUUAAAAUAACAUAAUGGACCUAUUCAUACCAUCCCAUCUUUUUACAUACACAAAUAGUUACAACAGGUUAGAUUAAACAUUUAUAUUUAAUGUCACGAAUUUUGAGAAAUAUGUUCAUGCUUACGAGCAGUUAAACUUUUUAACAAGUUCUCCAAGACUUCAUAUAUAAAAAAGAGUAUGAAGAGAUAGCAAGUACAAAUAUUAAAAUUUAUUAAAAAAAUUAAUAUUAUAAUCAAAUUCAAGUAAUUAUUUAUGUAAUUAGGGUUAUGUAUCCUUUAGGAAAAAAGUUAGCUAUGCUAAUUUAUAUCCUUUUGUAUGUUAUUGGUUCAAGUUUUAUAUAUACAUAGCAUUAAUCAUCCUUGAGAUUUAUCAAAAUUUUGUUAUUAUCAUUAGUAAAGGUUUAAUUUCAUUUUUUAAACAAUUUUUUCUCUCUUUUAUGGGUUGUGAAAAUUAAAAAAUAAUAUAUAUAUAUAUAUAUAUAUAAAUUAUUUAAUUAUAUUUUGAAAAUAUUUUAGGUACUUUUACAAAUAUUGUCUCAUAGAUAAUAUUCAAACCAUAACUUUAUAUAAUAAGUAAUUAAUUCAUGACAAGUGUGUCUGGUGGAGUUAAUUUUAUGACCUAACAGAUUAAAAAUGUUUUGAUUGUGUAUGUUUUUAACAUGACUCUCCUUCUAAGUUAUUGUGAAAAACAAAACAUAAACUACAAAGAAAUAUAAGAGAGAAAAUUCACCUUAUAAAAUAAUUAUGUUCACUUGUCAAUUAACUGAUUAAGUUUUAUUAAAUAAAAUAGUAAUGUGAAGAACAAUAUAAAUAUUCUUUAAAUUUAUAAUCAUUUCUAACUAAACUAUUAAACAUUGUCCGGACUUGUAUCCAUUUUUGGUUAAUCUUUUAAAUACUUUUUUUUAACAAUUUUUUAGUCAAUUUUUGUAUUUUUUUAACCUUUCAAUCAUUCAUGUCUAAUCUUAUUCGAGUAAUCCUUUUACAAGUAUUUUUUUCUCAACUUUAAUAUUCUUUUUUCUCUCAAUUACUUUUGAUAGUUCAAUUAUUACUAAUAUAAAUCAUUUUUGACUCAAAGAACUAUUCCUUCACAAACUACUCAUAACUUACACAAUUAUUCUUUAAACAAUAGUCAUUAAUAAAUAAUAAUCAACAUUUUUUACCAAGCAACCAAUCUUGAAUAAGAUGUUUGUAGUUAAAUGAUCAACGAUCACAUAAUUGCUCAUUGGAGAAGUUGAUAGUUUGUUGAUGUAUAUAAGAUUAAUGUUCUCACUUCUAGCUUGUUGGAUAUUAGCUCAAAAACAUUUAAUAUUAUUUUUACAUAUACAAGGUGGUCUAUUUUAUUAUUAUUCUUCUAAAAAUUGCUUUAUAUAUGCUUCAAAGAAAAUAAAUGAUAUAAAAUUUGAUUUUGUUGUUGAAUGUCUUCUUGUCUUUUAAGAAACUUGUUCAUGUAUUAUGAAAUAAGCACUUCUUUUUGAGUUAACAAUGUUUAGUUUAAGGAAUUGUUGAAAGAAAAACAAUUUAAACUCUUUGUCAAAAAGUUCUUAACUUAUUUUUCAAGUAAUAAACCUAUUUGAAAAACAAAAAUAAUAUACAUUCCCUUUAACAUUGGAAAAUCAUUUAUGUUUUCAUUUGGUACGAUGUUAGCUCACUUAUAUAUGUUUAAUGUCUGAACACAUUUAUGUAUGAUAUACCUAAAGAAAUAUUCCACAAUGUUGUAUCAAAUAAAACACUUGCAUUUUUAAUGUUGUGUUGUUGAUUUAAAAUAUCUUUUAGACAAAAUAUGGUCAUGCUUUUAUACUUAGUUAUUUUAUACACUUAAUCAAAAAUAAAAAUAUAUAGAACUUAUUUUGGUAUCGUAUGGAAGAUUGUCGGGUUAUCAAUGUCAUGACUUCUAGAUUAUUUAGGUUUGGAUGAUUGUCGGUCUGGUCUGAUUUGAUCUGAAUUACUUCUGGAUUGUCAUAUAAUGUUGCUUAGACUGAUUUCUUAAAAUAUGAAUUAUUGUUGGACUGAUUUGGUGUAGUCUAAACGACCAACUAUUUUAUAUGAAAACAAUUAAAAGUAAAUUAAAAAUAAGAAAUAAAAAAUGUAUAUAUGAGUUAUUUUUAAGGUCAAGUAAUACAAAAGCUAUAAUCAUGUGGUAAAGCAACAACAACGUACCUAAUUAAUUGGAGAAAUUAAUCAAUUGCCUAUUAGAUUAUCAGCAACAAAUCAAAUUGUUUCUUUUUGCAAUAAUAACUUUCAACAUUGAUAUUAAAAUAAGCAACGAGUAAACAAAAUUGUGUUUCUAAAUGAUUACAUGUAAUGUAAACUUAGAAAUCGAGUCCAGUUAUAUACAUCUGAUCAAUGAUUAAAUAAAUUAGUUAUCAAAAUAUAACAUUUACAAUGUACUUGAAAUCUUUUGUAAAUGAACAUCCAAAAUUAUGACACCACUACUGGUAGUAAUUAUUAUGUACAAUUUCACAGUCAUCAGCAUUUAUAUAUAGGAGAUAAAAGUUAUUAUAUUUAAAGUGGGAUAAAAAAAACAAUAGAACAUAUACUUUCAAUGGUCUUAAGUAAUUUACAUUCCUAGAUUCUUAAAAUUCGAUCUAUUUCUUUAAAUAAUUUUAUUCAUACAACAUGCUUUAUAUUAUAAAAUAUCUGAAAUUCAUACAGGAUAAUUUCUAUUCAAGAAUUUCUAUCAUGAGAGUCUAUUUUGCUGUAUUUGUGCAGACCGGAAGUAUGCCUUGAGACAGUAGCAGAGCUUAGUUUAGCACAAGGGGGCUUUGGUGCUAAUUUUUAAACAUAUAAAUUAUUUUUUUGUAUAAAUAAAAAUAUUUUUUUUAAAUUUAAUAUAUUUUAUAUAAUUGAAAUUUCAAAAUUUUAAUAUAUCUAAUUUUUGACACCUAAAAUAUUUGUUUAUGAUUAGCCACUGAAUUGGUGGGAUUUUGGAUAAGUCGGCCGCUUGUUUACUGUGUAAUCUGAGAGAUCGUGAACAACUCGUGUUGUUGGAAGAUCCGGGGAUGGUAAUUUUUUAGGAAAGGAAAAGUUGAGUGGGCAGGUUUGAGACGUUUUUGGAUUAUUAUAUAGAAAUAGAACGAAUUUUGUGUAAUAAGAAACUGAUUAUGUGAAUUGAAAAUCAUUUCUCGUCCAUUGGAACCGAUUCUGCCAUAUGAGAAUUGAAUGGUUCUUCUGCCCUAUAAUAAUAGUUAUAAUAUAACAAAUAUAAUUAUGAUAAUAACUAUAACAAUAUUCACAAUGAUAAUAAUAAUAAUAAUCACAGUAAUAGUAAUAAUAACAACAUAAUUAAUAACAAUAGUAUAAAAUUAACAACAAUUAUUAUAAUUAGUAUUGAUAAAUCCAAUAUUAAUAAUUCAUAAUAACUAUAAUAAUAAUAUUGUGAAUUUUUAUUAUGAUAUAAAAUGAUUCUAUAAAUUUAAUAAUUUACAAUAAUAAUAAUUUUUUUUUUCAAUUUUAACUUUUUUUAAUUAUAAAUAAUAAAUUGAAUUUUAUUUUAAUACAUUUCUUUACUAUUUACGUUUAAAUGUAUUUAACAUACGUAAAAUAGAAUCAUUCAGUUUUAUCUAUUAAAAUAUUUUUUUAAUUUAUUAUAUUGAUUAUAUCAUACAUAAAUUUUUAUAAACUUUUUACUCAAAUUAUAUCAUUUUAUUUUAAUUUAAAAAUUACUGCAUUUUUUUAUUUCCAAAUUUAUUUUCUCAUUUUCUCUCAAUUUUUCCUUCCACCGUAUCCUAAUGGUGUUGGAAUAUAAGAGGCAGAAUGAAACACACCCGAUAAAAUAUAUCUGAAUUGUGAGUGAUAGAAGAAACAAUUUAAAUAUCUAUAAAUUCAUUAUAGGUUACAAUUAUUCAAAACCAUUUAGUAUUAAAUUAAACAAUAUCUAUAAACUUAUUAUAAUUAUCUUUAUUCUUGUGCAACUUAAAUUAACUUGAUUGAUUAAAAUAUAUUUAUAGUUAAAAGUUAUUAUAAUUUUUUAAAAGGAUAAAAAAUAUUAAUAAAACAAAGCAAAAUUUAGUAAAUGAAAGAAAUAAGCAGUAAUGCCAAAAGAAAAGCCAAACGGACCGGCUUCAUAAUCGUGUGUAACAACCGUGUUCUCUUGCUCUCUGCAGAACUCCUAAGGUUUUCUCGCUCCGUCACCAAAGCGCAAUUGCAGCGAACGCAACACUCUCCUUGGCACAUCUCCGUUACUCUCGAAAACGACACUCUCCUUGGCACGUCUCUGUCACUCUCUUCGUCCCGUUCGAUUCAAAUAAGAAUUCUCCGAGGUCAAUUUCAUUGAGCAAAUGUCGGUUGCAAAGAAGUUGAUUAGAUGUGUUAUCCUUGACUUGGACGACACGCUGCUCAACACAGGUUUGUUGCCAUUCUUUAACAUAGAAUAUUUGUCUUUGCUCACACAGUUGAAGCAUAUAAUCGAGUAGCUUCAUUUUUUUUUCUUCCUAAUUGGAGCUAUAUAUUCUAUAACGCUGGAGAUUGCGAAUGUUUCGAUGCAGAUGGCUUCAGGAACCUUUGGCUUCUUGUGUUUCUUUUCCUUUGGUUUUGUGUGCUAACAUAAGUAUGGUCUUGUUUUUUCUUUUAUUUUCUAUGCGUGCAGGAUGGAAGAAUUUUCUCUGUUAUAAUUGGUGGAGAUGAAGUAAGAACAGGGAAACCUUCCCCAGAAAUGUGAGAUGCAGUGGUGUAUUCUCUAGCUUUGAUUAUUGAGGGUCGGUCACCUGAUUUCUACAUUUGAAUGUUCUUCGUCUUCUAAAACUUUUAUAGUGUGUUGUGAUGUUAGAUUCCUUGAAGCUACUAGCAGGAUAAACAUUGAGCCCUCCAGCUGUCUUGUCAUUGAAGAUACUGUGUGAGUUCCUUGAUUCCUGUCUUUCUCCCAGUAUUUUAUCUUUCAUAUUGUUGAACAAACUUAAACGUGGAUAGUUGCAUUAAAUAGUUUGUUGUUAUAAUAAUGGUGUUAGAGAAUUGCAAAAGGUUAGGAAUGCACCUAAGUAAUGAUUGUCUUAGUAAAGGAAUUAUGUUUAAUGCCUGUAGUUGAAAGGCCAAAAAAAGGACCUAUAAAUAGUUCAUGAACUCCUCAACGUAUUUUAUACAGCAAGCAAAUACUAAAAGUGUAUAAUGAUAUUCAUUACACACAUAGAACACUAAGAAUCCCAACCAAAAAUUUCAUCCAGCUUUGAAUACCCAUCACAAUUUUUUGUACAUGAACUAUCUUCUUAUCACUUUCAUUUUCAAAACUCUUUAGCAACCUCUCAUCAUUUGCUUCCAACACUUCACAGCUAAUACUUUCUUCAAUUCCCCAAUACUUUCUUCAAUUCCCCAAUCAGUGCACCAUCUGAAGUAGUUGCAUCUAGUAUUUUCACUCCCAACCUUAUAAGUAGAGCAACCCUAGAAUUGUUUGCCUCGAUUCUUCCUGGUUUUCGCAGUCUUCAACAUAGUCUUCUCUUCACAAUGGCAGAUCCGCGAACCAUCUUUUCUUUUCCACCCUCCAUCUCCACAAGAGCUCACAGACCGCAAAUGCUUUCUUCCAAACUCAUUGCAAGUGGAAAAGGAACAUGAAUGACCCAUCGACAUUAUUGCGUCUUCUGCUUUAGAACUUCCCUCGUUCGAAACUUCAAGUGCUGGUCAACCUUUAAGCACAACGAACCCUAAAGACUUCGCAUAAGGUCCAACUUUGCACUUUCUCUCGACCACAUUCGUCUCAGAUUUUUAAUCAAGAAUGCAAUGGAAAUCCCAUAUGUAACUUCAGUUUUUAAACUAAAACCUAUAUAUCAAAAAUCCAUAUUCAAUUUUAAUAAGUUCCGAAAAUACCACGUUUCACUUCAAAACAUGUCACCUUUAAAUACUUUAACACGUCAUUCCACCACUUGUGCAAAAACUUAAUCUCGUUAAUUAAAUUUAACAGCAGGGGCUCAAUUUUCUUAAUCUUGUUAACUAAAUUUAACAGUAGGAACUCAAUUGUUUCAAAUUAACAUUUAUAAAAACUUAAAUAAAAAAUUUAAAAAGAAAAAGAUCAUAACAGAAAAACUCCCCUAGAAACAGAUUUAAAUCUAAUUUAUUUUAAUGUUUGAAUAUAAAACACACUUCUAAACCAUUCAAAAGGAAGACAAUAAUUAAAAUAACAUAAUGAACUAUUCAUACCAUCUCAUCGUUUUACAUAUACAGAUAACUGCAAUAAGUUAGAUUCAAAACAUAUAUUUAAUGUGACGAUUUUUGAGAAAUAUGUUCAUGUUUACGGGCAGUUAAACUUUUUAACAAUUGGUAUAUAAAAAGAGUACGAAGAGAUAGGAAGUACAAAUAUUAAAAUUUAUUAUUAAAGUUUAAUUUUAUAAUCAAAUUCAAGUAAUUAUUAAUAUAAUUAGGAAUAUGUAUUACUUGUAAAUGUGUUAGACCUGGUGAUUCUAUUUUUUUACAAAACAAUCGAGAAUUACAAUGUCAUCAACCUAGGUUUUUUAUACUCAAUUCGAUUGAGAACGAUUUACAAUUUGGGAUUGCAGCAGUAUGGACAAUCUUGGUCAGCAACUUAAACAAUUAUUCAAAAUUCAAUUUAAAAAAAAAACGUGGGCUAUGUAAAAAAAGUGUCAAUAUCAUUUCCGUUUAUUUAUAUUUACUUUUAUAACUAUAAUUUUAUUACUUUUUGCUAUUAUGAAAAAAAAAAGUGAAGAUAUAAAAUGUGUUUUACCUCCUAAAAGUGUAAAAUUUGGUUUUCACCUACAGGCGUCGAUCGACAGAGAGGGCAAUCUCCGAAGAAUUUUAACUUAACUAAAACUUGACUUUAACAAUUUUAUAGGUUUUCAAAUACAUUUUUUAUAUAAUUUAUUUCUAAAAAAGCCCAUUCGGAUCAGUACCAACUACAUUCAAACUCCAGCACAAUAAACCCCGUUAUUGCAUUUACCAAAGGUUGAACAUGUCCACCUGGUCAUCAUGAUCAUUAUCAGCGAUUUGCGCUGUAUGAGAAUAGAUCUGCCACGCAGAAUAGCGACUUUUGGUGUUUGCAAAAUAGUUCAGUGGAUCAUAACUAAGAUUUUUAUCAGAUCCAACACUGUUACUUCUUAAUGCCAUGAAAAGUACAAAGUGAUGUUUAGCAAUGCAGUCCAGGUAUCACCUCAAGGCUUGUUAAAACAUAAAUACCACUUAACCCACAAAAAUAAUUUGAAGGAGGUAAAGGAGGAAAUAGGAGUAUGAAAGUAUAAAUAUUAAAGGCUUUCUGCCAGAUAGACAAGAAUCCGCAACUCUUUCAUAAAUAUGCCAACCAUUAUACCAUAGCAUUAAAAUUUUAAAACCACUGUAAUGUAUACAGGUACCCACUAAAAAAGUACAACCAUAGGAGAUUAUAGUCAUCAUUUCUCAAGCAUCAAACACUUUCUUCACUACACGCAGAUCCCCUGACUUUUGACACCCACAAGAUUAUUAAACUGCAAUCAAAGCAUUCCAGUCGAGGUCGAUGCAAAAAACUUGUACAGAAGCCAAUGAAAUAUGCACCAUAACAAGUCAUAAAGAGGGGAUCAGAGACCCUGUUCAAUGAGAUAAUCACCAAGCCUUUCAACUAUCAUGUUGCAUUGACCCGGAGUCAUGGGCUCAUCAUAAAUGCCAAUGACCAAGGCCAACCCGGUCUUCUUGACAGUAGCACCACCAGGACCCUGGGUAAUGGGGAUUGAUAAUUAGAGUCUGAUAUUAGAACUAUAAUGGCUAAACUAUGCCAGAAGAAUAUACAUACACUACCAUGUGCAACAAAUACAACUUAUGUUUCACUAAAUUACAUUAAAUUAAAGGCAACCAUUACACUAAACAACACUGGAACACGGUAUUUACUAUUCAGAGGCUGCAAACAAUAACCACACUGCUUAAAAGUGUAUAUGUCCAUAUGCAUUUGUUUGUAAAUUAUAACUUGAUUGAUAAGAGCAAUUCACAAUCACAUGGAUGAAUCACAAAAUUGUGAAACACCUUAUAAAAUCAUAUGCGUGUUUAUAAAUAAGAUACUAGAUAUUUUACGUAUAAAAAAGACUAGAUGCAUGAAGCCAAAUAAAAGAAUGUAAAAUUUAAACUCGAUCAUAGUUUUGACAGUAAUAAGAUGGGAAUUGACUUCACAAUCUAUUGCUUGAUUUUAACUCUAACAAUCAUAGUAAAAACAUACAAAAAUACACAUCUUCACAGAAACUGCAUCAUUGUCAUCACAUAGCCCAAAUUAUCAUCAUCCUAUAAAAAAACCCGUGCAAUCAAAUUGAAGCAGAGAUCAUAAAGAGUGGUUUACCUUCUUGCCUCUAAUUACAGAACCGGGUUCACCUUGGAUGACCAUAUAUUUAGUACCACCAAUGUAUAAUCCAGUAGGAGCAAGUGUUCCGGGCUCAUUAAAGUCAUUCAUGAUCCCGACUAUUUCCUCCGGCUUGAACUAAAUGAGCAAACAUCAACACAUCAUCAUCAUUACUAUUAUUAUUAUUAUACCACAAACAAAAACAGAUCAACUAAAAUAGAAACAGAUCUCUAGCAAUUAGAUUCAACCAUCCGAUUUGUCUCUUGAAUCAGCAAAUCACUCACAUCAAACUCACAAAUAAAAAAGAAAUAACAUUAUUAAAGAAUUAAGUUAUAGCUGUUGCUGAAAAGUACAUAAUCAGAAUUAACACUUAAUUAAUCAGUUAACUUUUAAUAAUGGAUGAAGAUGCAGUAAACCGAGGUAAACUCUUUUGCAUGUUAAUCCUCACUCCAUUAGCACUAAGAGUGAGAAUAGAUCCAGAAAUCUAGGAUGCUCCUUAAAAAUAUUAAGAAUAAAUCAUGGAAGAAAACCAUUGAAUUGAGAAAAGAGUGAACAAAAAUGAAAACAAACAAAACCUGAGGAAAGCUGCCGCUCUUAGCCCAAACACUGCCAUCUUGACCGAUGAUGGCGGCGUGAGUGAGGUGAUUACCUUCAAUCUCACAGAGAAGGUGGUCAUCAACGUAGGUUUGCCACGACAUGCUUCUGAUUUUCUCUCGAAACUCAAAAUUUUCUUGAGAGUGUUUAACUGCUCAGAAAUUGGGGUUGGGAUUUU
rnacentral:lncRNA from 1 species